rnacentral:rRNA from 1 species
CCUACGGGGGGCAGCAGUGGGGAAUAUUGGACAAUGGGGGGAACCCUGAUCCAGCCAUGCCGCGUGUGUGAAGAAGGCCCUCGGGUUGUAAAGCACUUUCAGUGAGGAAGAACGCCUGGUGGUUAAUACCCAUCAGGAAAGACAUCACUCACAGAAGAAGCACCGGCUAACUCCGUGCCAGCAGCCGCGGUAAUACGGAGGGUGCGAGCGUUAAUCGGAAUUACUGGGCGUAAAGCGCGCGUAGGUGGUUUGAUAAGCCGGUUGUGAAAGCCCCGGGCUCAACCUGGGAACGGCAUCCGGAACUGUCAAGCUAGAGUGCAGGAGAGGAAGGUAGAAUUCCCGGUGUAGCGGUGAAAUGCGUAGAGAUCGGGAGGAAUACCAGUGGCGAAGGCGGCCUUCUGGACUGACACUGACACUGAGGUGCGAAAGCGUGGGUAGCAAACAGGAUUAGAUACCCCGGUAGUC